CUGCGUGGAGCUGUGCUGCUCUGGAGGGCAGGUUUCUUGCUGAUGCUGCAUCCUCCCCGUGAGCCGGCAUUUCCGUGCCACUGAGUCAUCCCCGACGCUGGAAUGUGGCCAUGUGUGCACCGCCCUGCACAGCCAUGCUCUCCUGGCUGUGCCCCGUGAGGAGGUGCCUGUGUGCAGAUGUUGAGACAGUGCUUCAACGUGAGCCAGGAGGACGGGGGCUGCGCUCAACGCCUUCGCAUUUUCCUUUUUCCGAUCUUUCUCCGUUCCUCUAAUUGGAAGCCUUGGGCUGGCAUUUCCUGCCCUGCAGACCAUGCUGUAUGGCACAGCUCUGCCAGACAGGCAGCCAGGAGAUGGCUCAGCACUGCAGUGAGCAGUGGGUCGGCGUCCCCUGCGAGAGCUGCCUUCCUGCUGGAUGCAUUCAACCUUCCUUCCCUUCCCAAAAAAAAAUGAU